GAAAUAUGAAGACUCAAAAAAAAGCUUCUAACUUUUAUUUUAAACGAUUAAAUUUCGUUUAUAUUUCU
rnacentral:tRNA from 1 species